UCUAAAAUCCCUAACACACAUAUAUGGAGACACCACAGAGAGAUACAUAGAGGCAUUGAGAGAAGAAGCUAUGCAUCUUUGGCUGCUUCUUCACAAAAACACACACACACAAUACACAAUAUAUAGAUGCACGAAGGACCAAGCUGGGCUUCUUCUGAAAUCUGAAGAAUACACACACACGCAUAUAGAAGCUUGGGAAUUGGGGGGAAGGGCUGGCGACUGGGGCUUCUCUUGAAGAUACACGCCUUUACACAAGACAACACAGACAAUCUAUACAAAAGGGAUUCCUGAAGAAGGAGAUGAGCGCAACUGCGUAGAACAGACCCCCAUCCCAUGAAAUCAUCUUCUCCAAGUGACCCGCCCCUUUCUUCAGUGUCAGCUCCUCCACUUACCAUAGCUUAUCGAAAACCUAGCAGAAAAAGUGACAAAAUCACUGGAUUGACGAGCUCCAGCCGUGACAAACAGACACAAGAGGUUUCGAUUCAGAAUAAGAAGAAUACCAUAAACGAAAAAUGUGGUGUUGUUUCUCUUCUUAUUUCAAUUGAAAAUUUUCAAAAUGGAGAUUGUUUGUUUUUGAAAUCGAUGUCGAGGUGCCGAUCUGAGUCCUGUCCGCAUCAAUUUUCUGAUUUCCACACAAAUGGAUUUUGCACCGAUUCUGUUUGAAGCCGCAACAAUGUCUAGCUGUAAUGGUUGAUUCAUUUCAGUUCGUAUAAAUUUCAGGUCCAUUUAUAUUGCAUUGGUUGCUCCCUUUAAUAUUUAUGUAGUUUACAUGGAUUUUCCGUAUUGGUUUGUUAUUGCACCUUAGUCGCUGUUAGAUUCUGUGGACGAAACUCUUACUUCGAGCGUUUGUUGCGCUUUUUGUUUGAGUGAUCCGUAGGCUAGGAUUGCAAGUGUUACUAAUCUCAUCGUGUAGAGGAUUCUCUGAAUUGUCUGAGACUCUUGAGGGUUGAUUUAAGUUUUGGAUAUAAGAUUGCUCAUCUUAAUAAGAGUUACAUAGUGUUAGUUUUUUUGCUGACUGCUGCUGUUUAGCUGUAUUUUGUUAUUCCUCGAGUUUUUCGAUCGUUGUUUUGUGUUGCCUCGGAUUUUGUUGCUGUUCUUCAGCUAAAUUUUUGAAAAUGGGACUGUUGUACCUCCUGGUUUUUUUUCAAUACUGAAAAGAUUUUGGAUUAUCAGGUUCAUCUUGUACUCCUCCUUGUUUAUUAACGGAAGAUGUUUGUGAGCUAGUUAGUGUACUAAUCUGUGCUGCCGAUUUCUCGUGAAGUUUACUGAAUUUCAUUGUUUGGCGUGUUUGACUGAAGUUCGUCCAGUUAUAAGAUUCCGACUCAUUUCCGGCUUCUAUUUGAUACUUUUGAACUGUUUUCUUUGCCUUUAAUUAGAGAUGUUGUUGUUAGUUGUUUGAUCAUGUUGGGUUUAGCAGCAUUUUCUUUAGUUUGAAACUGGUUGGGAACUACUUGAAUAUUUGAGUGAAAAGCCAUGUAUUGAAGAGCUAAUUAUCUUUAGUUAGAGCCUGUUUGUUAUUCUUAUAUAUAAUGUGAUCAUGCCUAAUAUUGCUGCUGAUUAGGAAGGAUUUGAAGCAGCAGUUUGCUUUGUUCUUCUGUAGUUCAAGUUAGCUCGCUCUUCUGAAUAAAAUAGAGCCUGUAGGUUAUGCUUAUAUAUAAUGUGUGUCAUGCCUAAUAUUGCUGUUGAUAAGGAAGGAUCUGAAGCAGCAGUUUGGUCGUUUAUCUUUAUUUCCACAGC
rnacentral:lncRNA from 1 species